rnacentral:rRNA from 1 species
UUACUGAGUUAUCAAAACUCCAACCCUAUGUGAACCUACCUCUGUUUCCUCCGGCGUACCGCGCCAGCGCCUAUCCGUAGGGCCCCCUUUAGGGGGGGCUUGCCGGUAAGGUACCUGAGCGCCGCCUACCCCUCGGGGCACGGCGGCGCGAUUACGGUACCGACGUAGGCCUGCGCGGCGCCGAGUAGGACCUUCUCGAACUAUAGCACCCUGUGCAUCCAACCCUUCUUAGAAGGGUCUGAAUCGCCUCAUAAACCUGUGCUGCCCCUAACCGGGUGGUAACUAAACUAAAGUUUUUAACUAAAUACUUUAAAACUUUCAACAACGGAUCUCUUGGUUCUGGCAUCGAUGAAGAACGCAGCGAAAUGCGAUAAGUAAUGUGAAUUGCAGAAUUCAGUGAAUCAUCGAAUCUUUGAACGCACAUUGCGCCCAUUAGUAUUCUAGUGGGCAUGCCUAUUCGAGCGUCAUUACAACCCUUAAGCCCUGUAGCUUAGCGUUGGGAGUCUACGCCCCCCAGGGGCGUAGUUCCUCAAAUACAGUGGCGGAGUUACAGCACACCCCAAGCGCAGUAGUUUAGCUCGCUUCCAGGGAGGCUGUGGCUGCUUGCCGUAAAAACCCCCUAUACUGAUAGUGGUUGACCUCGGAUUAGGUAGGAAUACCCGCUGAACUUAAGCAUAUCAAUAAGCGGAGGAAAAGAAACCAACAGGGAUUGCCCUAGUAACGGCGAGUGAAGCGGCAAAAGCUCAAAUUUGAAAUCUGGCCCUAGCGGUCCGAGUUGUAAUUUGCAGAGGAUGCUUUUGGUGCGGUGCCUUCCGAGUUCCCUGGAACGGGACGCCAUAGAGGGUGAGAGCCCCGUACGGUUGGACGCCUAGCCUCUAUAUAGCUCCUUCGACGAGUCGAGUAGUUUGGGAAUGCUGCUCUAAAUGGGAGGUAAAUUUCUUCUAAAGCUAAAUACCGGCCAGAGACCGAUAGCGCACAAGUAGAGUGAUCGAAAGAUGAAAAGCACUUUGAAAAGAGGGUUAAAUAGCACGUGAAAUUGUUGAAAGGGAAGCGUUUGCGACCAGACCUUCUCCAGGGGGAUCAACCGCUGUUCUCAGCGGUGCACUCCCCCUGGUCUAGGCCAGCAUCGGUUCUCUUAGGGGGAUAAAGGCCUGGGGAACGUAGCUCUUUAGGGAGUGUUAUAGCCCCUGGCGCAAUACCCUUCAGGGGACCGAGGACCGCGCUC